GUUUGGACAUGGCUCAGAUUGAACGCUGGCGGUAUGCUUAACACAUGCAAGUCGAACGGAAACGAAACUAGCUUGCUAGUUGGCGUCGAGUGGCGGACGGGUGAGUAACGCGUAGGAAUCUACCUAGUAGUGGGGGAUAGCCCGAAGAAAUUCGGAUUAAUACCGCAUAAUCUAUUCGUAGUAAAGUGGGGGACUUUCGAGCCUCACGCUAUUAGAUGAGCCUGCGUAAGAUUAGCUUGUUGGUAGGGUAAAAGCCUACCAAGGCUACGAUCUUUAGCUGGUCUGAGAGGAUGAUCAGCCACAUCGGGACUGAGACACGGCCCGAACUCCUACGGGAGGCAGCAGUGGGGAAUAUUGGACAAUGGGGGCAACCCUGAUCCAGCAAUACCGCGUGUGUGAAGAAGGCCUGAGGGUUGUAAAGCACUUUCAAUUGUGAAGAAAAGUUA
rnacentral:rRNA from 1 species